rnacentral:rRNA from 1 species
CGGCGGACGGGUGAGUAAUGUCUGGGAAACUGCCUGAUGGAGGGGGAUAACUACUGGAAACGGUAGCUAAUACCGCAUAACGUCGCAAGACCAAAGAGGGGGACCUUCGGGCCUCUUGCCAUCAGAUGUGCCCAGAUGGGAUUAGCUAGUAGGUGGGGUAACGGCUCACCUAGGCGACGAUCCCUAGCUGGUCUGAGAGGAUGACCAGCCACACUGGAACUGAGACACGGUCCAGACUCCUACGGGAGGCAGCAGUGGGGAAUAUUGCACAAUGGGCGCAAGCCUGAUGCAGCCAUGCCGCGUGUAUGAAGAAGGCCUUCGGGUUGUAAAGUACUUUCAGCGGGGAGGAAGGUGCUGAGGUUAAUAACCUCAGCAAUUGACGUUACCCGCAGAAGAAGCACCGGCUAACUCCGUGCCAGCAGCCGCGGUAAUACGGAGGGUGCAAGCGUUAAUCGGAAUUACUGGGCGUAAAGCGCACGCAGGCGGUCUGUCAAGUCGGAUGUGAAAUCCCCGGGCUCAACCUGGGAACUGCAUUCGAAACUGGCAGGCUAGAGUCUUGUAGAGGGGGGUAGAAUUCCAGGUGUAGCGGUGAAAUGCGUAGAGAUCUGGAGGAAUACCGGUGGCGAAGGCGGCCCCCUGGACAAAGACUGACGCUCAGGUGCGAAAGCGUGGGAGAGCAAACAGGAUUAGAUACCCUGGUAGUCCACGCCGUAAACGAUGUCGACUUGGAGGUUGUGCCCUUGACGCGUGGCUUCCGGAGCUAACGCGUUAAGUCGACCGCCUGGGGAGUACGGCCGCAAGGUUAAAACUCAAAUGAAUUGACGGGGGCCCGCACAAGCGGUGGAGCAUGUGGUUUAAUUCGAUGCAACGCGAAGAACCUUACCUACUCUUGACAUCCAGAGAACUUAGCAGAGAUGCUUUGGUGCCUUCGGGAACUCUGAGACAGGUGCUGCAUGGCUGUCGUCAGCUCGUGUUGUGAAAUGUUGGGUUAAGUCCCGCAACGAGCGCAACCCUUAUCCUUUGUUGCCAGCGGUUCGGCCGGGAACUCAAAGGAGACUGCCAGUGAUAAACUGGAGGAAGGUGGGGAUGACGUCAAGUCAUCAUGGCCCUUACGAGUAGGGCUACACACGUGCUACAAUGGCGCAUACAAAGAGAAGCGACCUCGCGAGAGCAAGCGGACCUCAUAAAGUGCGUCGUAGUCCGGAUUGGAGUCUGCAACUCGACUCCAUGAAGUCGGAAUCGCUAGUAAUCGUAG